CUUUGCACCACAAAGGGGACUAUAACUCAUCGGACCUGAUGACGUGGAAAAGGGUGACAUUGUAGAGUAUUUGGUGGCCAUUGUUCCACGCGUAGAGCGCUCUGUCCUUGGGGUUGUAGUCCAGCAUGGAAAUAUGAGCCAAGGGAUCUGUCAUCCAGGAGCCAAACCUUGAACCAGAAGUCUUUACGGUUAUGGGGUCACUUAUUGCAGUCAAUUUCCCACACGCUGCAAGAUAGUUGAACACAACGAAAAUGCAAAACUCAUUUCUGGGAUACCCAGCCUUGAAAGAGUAAUAAAUUGGCAACCCUCUGGAACCAAUCCAGUGGAUAUGGUGAGAGAUACAUCCCCUUCUCUGGUAGGUUAGCAAGAGCCACAACGCCAAGUUACCUUUUCCAAAAGCUGCCGUAGCUGCUUUGUUCUGGCAUCCCGUGAGCACAUCGUCUGUUGAGGCGCCACCACUGUGCAUAUGCAUCGUCCUUCACUAUCCUGAGCAGAACUGUACACCUGCCAGCUUUCCUCGGGGUUGGGACCAGAGCCCAUGUGCACCCAACAUGUGAAUUCAUCACUGCUUGUAUGGGAAAAGUUUUGACCGAUUUGAUUUCCCCACAAUUACAGCA